rnacentral:rRNA from 1 species
ACUCCUACGGGAGGCAGCAGUGGGGAAUAUUGCACAAUGGGGAAACCCUGAUGCAGCCAUGCCGCGUGUGUGAAGAAGGCCUUCGGUUGUAAGCACUUCUAGUAGGGAGGAAGGUAGUGUAGUUAACACCUGCACUAUUUGUACGUUACCUACAGAAGAAGCACCGGCUAACUCCGUGCCAGCAGCCGCGGUAAUACGGAGGGGUGCGAGCGUUAAUCGGAAUUACUGGGCGUAAAGCGCAUGCAGGCGGCCUGUUAAGUCAGAUGUGAAAGCCCGGGGCGUUAACCUCGGAAUUGCAUUUGAAACUGGCAGGCUAGAGUCUUGUAGAGGGGGUAGAAUUUCAGGUGUAGCGGUGAAAUGCGUAGAGAUCUGAAGG